CUGAGAUUGUGCCACUGUACCCCAGUCUGGGCGACAAGAGUGAAACUCCGUCUCAAAAAAAAAAAAAAAAAAAAGUGUUUCAUUUAAGUGCUACCUAAAACUAUCAUCAGUUUUUUGAUAUUCCAGUUUUUUAACUGUCCAAGGAAUUAUUUUCUGGAGUGUAGAUAAAAUUGCCAGGGCUUUCACUCAGUGAUUAGGGUCUAUUGAUGGAUCUUAAAGGCUGAACUGAUAGAACAGCUCUCCAGCUCCUUGUAUUUUGCUCCCAACCUUUCUGUCCCCUCCAACUUGUUGCCCUUUUGUAGUCUGGUGGGAGCAGGAGAAAACCCUGCAAUAGCACCUACUCUAUGCCAUUUUGUAAUACUUUGUGCACCCCAAACAAACCACUAACCUUAUUUGGGAAAAUAAACUGAAAAUACAUUUCUGGUUCAGCAAUUGCUAUAAUUGGACAGUCUGUCUUUUGAACAAUAAAAAGAAUCCUAGUUUCACACAUAACAUCCUCUUAUGUGUGACUACAAAAAUAAAAACUACCUAUUAAAAUAUGUAUAUUUUCAUUUUGUUUGCUGAAAGUAUCAGGUGGUAAUUGUACUGGUUUUAUAGACUGUGUGAUGUGUUAUUAUAGAAAAAGCACUAGAUUGGGUUCUAGGAGACCGAAUUAAUCAUGAGUUGUUUGUCAACGGAAUCAACUUCUCUGCACCAAAGUUUUGCAUCUUGAGGAAAAGCACUAUAUGGCAUGUAAGGUCUCUUUCAAUUCUAAUAUGUUUAUACUUGCAAAUAUUCUUCAGAGUGGCUAGAACCCACUUGAGGAUUAGUCAGUUCAAAUAGCAACAGCAGCAGUAACAACAACAAAAGUUCCUUUGGAAAAUAACAUACUUUAGUCAGAAUGGCCUUUAAUUUUUAAGGCCCAGAUGCCACGAAAGGUUUGUCAUGUACAGUUCUCCUUUGGUAUCAUAGGAAUAUUUUGGGGGUUAGAAUAUUAUGGGUGAAUUUGGAUUCUGUGAUGGCCAUUUGCAAUGCUUUAGCUUGAUAAUCAAAUAUAAUAUAUUUCACAAUACAUUUAUCAUUUUGUUGAAAUAGCAUAUUGAAUUCUUUCAAACCACUCUCUUGAAGUACAAACUUCCAAGAGAAUAUUCGAAGCAAGUUGGUUGGAAAGUAAGUAGAUUGCAGUAAAAAAAAUAGAAAAUAUGCAUUAUUUUUUAUCAAAGUGUUCUUGCCUUGAGAAAUAUAGUUCAUGAAAAAAAAAUUUCAAUUUGAUUGGGAGGAUUUUAUGGUUUAUUUGUUGAUGCCUGUGUCACAGAAUCUUACAAUGUAUUUUGAAGUGGGUACAUUUAAAAAUGUCUUGCUUUUUAGUAAGAACUGCUUAAUAACAAAGAAAAAGGAUAUUUUUGUGAAUUUUACUUGUUACGCCUCUUUGCCUUUUCAGCUUGCAUGGAAGACAUUAGGGAAUAAAUAUUUGAUGUCGUAUUCAAGCCAAAUAUUAGGACACAAAGAAUAAAUUAAUGUUAUUUCUACCAGUCAUUCCUCCUCUUUUACCCUUUAUCAAAGAACUCUUUAGCUCUUCUGUUUUUUUAGCAUCCUAUAAUCCUCUAACUCACUGUGUAUUUUUAUAUUUUGAAGAGAAAGUUGCCAUGUAAGAAAAAGAUAGCUGUCUUCUUUGAGGAGAAGGUGGGCUAUGAAUAAAUAAAAGAUACAAAAUAAGAAAGGCUGUCAGUGUCAAACACUCUGGAAGGAUAUGGACUUUGCAAGUUACUGUUCAAAAAUUAGCCUCUUUGUACAGCAUGUCGUGUCAAUGUCCAGGUACAAGAAAUGACCUGAGGUGAAUGAUUUUUUUUUUUUUUUUUGCAUUCUAUGUGCUUCACGCUAAAGAAGACCUCAGAAUAGUCCUUUAAAAAGAAUGGUACUACCUUUGCUAUAAAAUACAGGUAUACAUGUUUUUCUAAUAAUAUACGGGAUACAGAAGUGAAUAUUCAAUUCUAGUCCAUAUUUCUUGGCUUUUUAUUAUUUAGUUUUUAUUUUUAUCAGGGUUAUAUGUGAACUUUUUUUUUUUUUUUUAAAGAUCAAGUAAUCGUAUACAGCCUAUUAUGUGAAAACCAGUAGUUGUUGGAUCAACUUCUUCUUUCCCUCCCUUCAAAUCCCCUCUCAAACUUCUCUUUCUCUAGCUUUUUCCAUUUCCACUACUGUAUUUAGCCUUUCUCUCUCUCUUCAUAUUUACCUCCAUCAUUCUGAUUAAUGUACUUGCAUAGCUACUUCUUGAUUUUUCUAGGUUUAGGCAUUAUCUAUUGGCUUCUGCUUUGGAAAUUGAGGAUUUCACUGUUUUCUCUCCCAAUUCACCCAAAGACACGUCUUUACCUCCCCCAGCUCCUUCAUUCUGCCCACAUGGUUAAUGCUCUAAUUUUGGGUGGAAUCCAUGUAUUUAUAUUAUUAUGCCUUUAUAAAUACCAUUCAUCACUGUCAUAUUAUUAUUUCUUCUUUAUUCAACUCUACUUUCUUUUGAUUUAAUCAUUGUCACAUAUUGUCGUUUAUUUAGUUUGUUAUGUCUUUAUCAUUCACUCAUCAGUCUCUUGAGUUGUAUAAAUCUCCUCAAUAAUUUCAAAUAGGUGUGCUAUAAAAUUCUAUCUAGUUCAUCUUCUUGGUGACAUUCUCUCAGAGCUUCUGAUCUACUCCAAUCUGGGCUGGUAGUUUCCAGCCCUGCUGCAUGGCUGUCAUCACCUGAAGUAUCAUGCUGGGGGAUCCCUUCUCCUAUAAGAUGCUUGCUGGCUUCCAGGUCUUUGUGUUCUUUAGCUUACUCCAAAGUGCAUUGAGAUCUUACUUAGUGGACUCAUGACUGAUGGUUUAGUUGGUAUAGAAUUUUAGCUUGGAAAUAAUUGCCUAUCAUAGUUUUGGAGUCAUGAUGCCAUUUAUUUCUAAGCUUCUAGCUGUUGCUAUCUAAGCAACAUUGUUAUUUUAAUCCUGAACGUUAUGUAUCCGACGUGCUUUUUCUGGUGGUGGUGAUGAUUUUUUUAAUCUUGUUUGGCAAUUCCAGCCUUUUGAAAUUUCAUGAUGUGCUUUGGUGCGUGAAUGUGUGUGUGUGCGCGUGCGUGCAUGUGUGUGUGUGUGUGCAUGUGCAUGUAUGUAUGUAUUAGGUUUUCAUCUCAUUGUAUAGUGAUGCUUACCCUAAGUUUUAAAAAAUAUUUUCCUGUGUUAGGUUUCUGUCUUUCAUAUUAAUGACUUUUCUCAGAUGCCUGGCAAUUCUUGUCUAUUUAUAUUUAAAAGUGAGGCAUAUGAAGCUAAUUCAUAAUUCUACAUGCAAGAGUGAGAUUUAUCUACUAUGUGUUUCACCAUGGGUGUUUGGCUGUUUUAUCAGAAAGGUCCCAAUAAUCAUACCUUUAGGUUUUCUCUCUUGGAGUGGUCAGAUAUUCCAAAGAAGAAUCUUUCAGGCUCCUACCUGGAGAAUGUAAGCCUGAGCCUCAGUGGUGGGGGAAGCAAGUGGGAAAAGGGGCUUGGGCUCUCAAUAUUCACUGUGCUCAAGUUUCACUAAAUUCUCCUUUUCUGUACAAUAUUCUUGCUGUAAUAUGGGCCUGGAGAUCUUCAGUACAGAAAAUAAAAGGUGUAGUCUUCUAUCAGGGUGGCAGGGCCAGUUGCCCAGCUAUGUGAAAUCAGAGAGAGGAUCUAGAACUCUUAAGUCCUUCUUUAAAGGGAUCUGAACCAGUCCUCCUGUUUUUAGUCCCUCCUUCAUCCCCAUUUAUAAGGGAUCUUGGAUUCCACCCAUUCCUAAGCUCCUUGGGAGUCCCAGGGGCAAACCGUCUUGUGGCUCACCUUUCUUUCACUGCCUGUUUAGACUCAGCUUCUGGUCUGCUGGAUCAGUUACCACUUGUUCUUCUGCUUUCUAGUUUCCAAAAUGUUACAGUUAUUUUUUAUGUCCAAGUAUGUUUGUCUUUUUUUAAAAAAUGUCUUUUAAAAUCAUUUUAGAGCAGUUUUAGGAGAAGGUGAAACUAAAUGACUAUGUUCACCUUAAUCAGAAGUCUUUUCUCAUUUGUGUAACUACAAAUGGUCUUCUGAACAGGCAGUUUGUUUGGCAAGUGAACAAUUCCGUAGAACAGGAAUAAGACUGAAUAGAGGCAUGCUCUGUUUGUGUUUAGAUGCUUGCGCCUGUCAUGUUUUAAGAAGAGGUAACAUUGGGGGUGAAGUAAAAUGUCUCUUCUGUAGGGGUUUUUAGUGCAGUUUGGCCUCUUUUUUUAAUUCUUUUAGUCUCCCUUUGCAGAUAGAUACCCACAUCCAUUUGAAUAUUGAAAGGAGCUGUGGGAGGUAGUAUUGUACCACAUCCUGUGACCUGCUGGCCAGUGGCUUUCACAUCCCUUUUGUAUAGGAUAUUGUUAUGCUGUGGUGCAGAGCAAACCCUUCAGGAGAAGCAAGAUUCUUCUCUGCUAUAAGAACGUGGGUUCUUGAGAAAGGAGAUUCAGAGAGGAUAACGGCAUCUCACACAUGCGCAUGGAGUUCCCUUUCUCAUUUGAAAGAUGUAGGGCUCAUUGGACUAGAUGAGCCUUUCCAGUUCCAAAUCUUUCACUUGAGAAUUCUGAAAAUUUAUUGUAUUUUAAUUGCUUAUUUUUUUAAGAUAUGGACCUUGUAUAGUCGUUAUUAUUUUGUAUCAGAGACAUUAUUAGAAGUCAUUCAAAGACUUUUGGUUUAGGUGUGUUUAUAUGGUUGGCUGCCCUUACAUUUUCUUGUGUUUCUGUUCCCCUCUUCCCCUGAUGGCUACUUCUUGACUACAUUAGCUUUUUCAGUUUCUAUGACAAGUCAAAUUUUUUCUCUCUCAGCGCUUACACAACUAUAAUCUCUUCUUCAUGAAACGUUGUUCUCAUUCUUUGGCUAACUCCUAUUUAUUUCUGCAAAGAUAUUUUUUGUUUUCCUAUCUCCCAGAGAGGGUUUUUUUUUUUUUUUUUUUUAAACUCUUCAUC